GACGAACGCUAGCGGCGUGCUUAACACAUGCAAGUCGAGCGGAAAGGCCCUUCGGGGUACUCGAGCGGCGAACGGGUGAGUAACACGUGAGCAACCUGCCCUCAGCUCUGGGAUAGCUCCACGAAAGUGGAAUUAAUACCGGAUAUGACCACGGCCGACAUCAGCCGUGGUGGAAAGGAUUUCCGGCUGAGGAUGGGCUC
rnacentral:rRNA from 1 species